GGUGAACGCUGGCGGCGUGCCUAAGACAUGCAAGUCGAGCGGGCCGCGGGGUUUUACUCCGUGGUCAGCGGCGGACGGGUGAGUAACGCGUGGGUGACCUACCCGGAAGAGGGGGACAACCCGGGGAAACUCGGGCUAAUCCCCCAUGUGGACCCGCCCCUUGGGGUGUGUCCAAAGGGCUUUGCCCGCUUCCGGAUGGGCCCGCGUCCCAUCAGCUAGUUGGUGGGGUAAUGGCCCACCAAGGCGACGACGGGUAGCCGGCCUGAGAGGGUGGCCGGCCACAGGGGCACUGAGACACGGGCCCCGCUCCUACGGGAGGCUGCAGUUAGAAAGCUGCCGCAAUGGGCGCAAGCCUGACGGAGCGACGCCGCUUGGAGGAAGAAGCCCUUCGGGGUGUAAACUCCUGAACCCGGGACGAAACCCCCGACGAGGGGACUGACGGUACCGGGGUAAUAGCGCCGGCCAACUCCGUG
rnacentral:rRNA from 1 species